UUAGGCGCAAGCUNAACGCAUUAANCAACUCCGCCUGGGAGUACGGUCGCAAAGACUGAAACUNCGAAGGGAAUGAACGGGGGCCCAGCACAAACGUGGAGCAUGUGGUUUAAUUUCGAAAGCAACGCGAAGAACCUUACAGGUCUUGACAUCCCGUUGACCACUGUAGAGAUAUGGUUUUCCCUUCCGGGGACAAACGGUGACAGGUGGUGCAUGGUUGUCGUCAGCUCGUGUCGUGAGAUGUUGGGUUAAGUCACACGCAACGAGCGCAACCCUUGAUCUUAGUUGCCAUCAUUUAGUUGGGCACUCUAAGGUGACUGCCGGUGACAAACCGGAGGAAGGUGGGGAUGACGUCAAAAUCAUCAUGCCCCUUAUGACCUGGGCUACACACGUGCUACAAUGGACGAUACAAACGGUUGCCAACUCGCGAGAGGGAGCUAAUCCGAUAAAGUCGUUCUCAGUUCGGAUUGUAGGCUGCAACUCGCCUACAUGAAGCCGGAAUCGCUAGUAAUCGCGGAUCCGCAUGCCGCGGUGAAUACGUUCCCGGGCUUGUACACACCGCCCGUCACACCACGAGAGUUUGUACACCCGAAGUCGGUGGGGUAACACUUUAUGGAGCCAGCCGCCGAAGGUGGGAUAGAUGAUUGGGGUGAAGUCGUACAACUGUAAACGACUGGCG
rnacentral:rRNA from 1 species